UGAUGCUGGAGGUGGUGUUGCCACCCAGUCCCAGUCAAAAGUUGAGUACACAGAAACAAACUGCUCUUUGUUUCAAGUGCCAGGCUUAGGGUACUCCCUCACUCUUUCUUUCACUCUCCCUCCCUCUCUUUCUCGUGCGCGCAUGCGUAGUGGAGGAACGAGUGUGGGGUGGAGACGCGUGAGCUCUUUGGCAUCUUGUCAAUUUCCUGAGAAAUCGUUUUCCUUGUCUUUUUUUCUAUUCUUUAACUUAAAUAGUAAGUGAAUUAUUAGUGGGCAGUAGAAGUUGAGAGCGGGACGCCAUGGCCUCUGAAGACGGCGGGGGAGACGGUGUCUCUCCGUCAGGUGUGUGCCGGAGAAUGGAGCACAGGUGGAGGAGGUGCUGCUAGCGGUAGGAGAGCAGGUUGGGUGUGAGAACAGCUACUCUGCCUCUCGAAUGAACAAGCUGUGGUGGUUUUCCUGAAAGAGGAAAGACUUGUCAGUGAUCUACUGAAAGAGGAAUAUGGUUAAAAGGUGUCAUGAUACACGUUGGCCGUCUAUCUGCCCCUGCGAUGCGAGUCGUCAUCUCCAAUGUGCCCCCGUGAGCUAGCCGCUUCGGAAAGUUCGCCAGGCCCAUGCCAACUAUUCCGCUCGGCUGCAAAAUAUCCGCAGUUAAACACGCCCUGACGUUCCGCAGACAAUUUUAAAAUAACCAUAAUUAAACACUAGAUGUACAUUUCAAGUGCAAAGACGGCGACAGCAGUUACACCGUCUUUGCCACCACCGAACAUGGGGACACCUUGAACGAACGGCUGAGCUGCUCAAGCAGAGCUGAAAGAGGCCAGUGAAGAACACAACAACAACACUGAAACAAACACUGCGCCCAGGAAUAGCGCUAACUCAGACACCGAAAAUAGCAUUAGUGCUAAACCCGAUACCCCCGUCGCCGCUUGCAGUGAACACGUCCCUAGUGUUUACACUGAGGAUAAUCCUGACCCUGUACAACAGCAACAGAAGAACACAGGUACUGAGCAGCACUGAUGAAGAGACACAGCACAAUACAGUCAAGUCGAGUGUAGAAGUAAAGAACAGCACAAGUGCUACAGGAGCAGAUCUCACACCUAUGAAGGAUGGACAGAUUGAAUCAGAUGAACCGACGUUAUUUAACAGUUCAGAAACCCCACAUCAACAGCCUGAGGAUCUGUACACCACAGCACAGAUAAACCGCUUUUUAUAACUGAUAAGGAAAAAUUUGUUAAGUCAGUACAAAAUGCCACAAGAAAUUAAAAUCUAAGAGUACUCUCACCACGCAGGAGAUACGUCCUCAGAAAAUGGACAUCAGCAGCACAAGACUCUCUAAACCGGACUAUGGGCUUUUCUUAUGGAUUUAUUUAAAGUGGAAUUAUUAGAAGACUGAAGGGGCUUUUUGGAUUUAUUUUUUGGGUGGG
ensembl:lncRNA